GCGGAAGGGUGCAUCGAGCUGCUUUGAUUUGUAGGCCGUGGUUCUUGCAAAUACGGAUUCAUAACGUAUUGCACUAGCCCCGGUCCAAAAAACAAUAGCAACGCCGGCAACAGCA
rnacentral:pre_miRNA from 2 species